UGUGGUAUGACACAGCUCAUCCGUCAAAAGGGUGAAAUUCUUUAGAACGGUUAAAAGUCUGUGAAUAAACUAUGACUGCUGUCCUGUUUACUUUUUUGAUAUCAGCACAACUUUCCAUAUCACUCCGAAUACUACAGAAGCCUGUAACCUGCUCGCAAGAGGGGCUAAGAUGUGCAGUUCACAUAGACAAUUGCACCAACGAGGGCUGGGUGACAGCAAGCAGACAGAAAGCCCCAAAUGGCCCUCUAUUCUCAGGCGACAAGAAACUUAACUGGUCCUUGGAAAGGGAUGACCGUGGCAACCUUGUUCCUAUUUUGCUUCUGCACUGGAGAGCCCCAG